rnacentral:rRNA from 1 species
UACGUAGGUGGCGAGCGUUAUCCGGAUUUACUGGGUGUAAAGGGCGUGUAGGCGGUUUCGUAAGUCGGAUGUGAAAUUCCCAGGCUUAACCUGGGAGCUGCAUCCGAAACUACAGAACUUGAGUACUGGAGAGGAUAGUGGAAUUCCUAGUGUAGCGGUAAAAUGCGUAGAUAUUAGGAGGAACAUCAGUGGCGAAGGCGACUAUCUGGACAGUAACUGACGCUGAGGCGCGAAAGCGUGGGGAGCAAACAGGAUUAGAUACCCUGGUAGUCCACGCCGUAAACGAUGGAUACUAGGUGUAGGGGGUAUCGACCCCCCCUGUGCCGGAGUUAACACAAUAAGUAUCCCACCUGGGGAGUACGGCCGCAAGGUUG